UCCCUGGUAGUCCAGUGGCUAAGUCUCUGCACUCCCAGUGCAGGGGCCCGGGGUUCAAUUCCUGGUCAGGGAA
rnacentral:tRNA from 1 species